rnacentral:rRNA from 1 species
AACGAACGCUGGCGGCAUGCCUAACACAUGCAAGUCGAACGAUGCCUUCGGGCAUAGUGGCGCACGGGUGCGUAACGCGUGGGAAUCUGCCUUUCGGCUCGGAAUAACUCAGGGAAACUUGAGCUAAUACCGGAUAACGUCGCAAGACCAAAGAUUUAUCACCGAAAGAUGAGCCCGCGUAGGAUUAGCUAGUUGGUGAGGUAAAGGCUCACCAAGGCGACGAUCCUUAGCUGGUCUGAGAGGAUGAUCAGCCACACUGGGACUGAGACACGGCCCAGACUCCUACGGGAGGCAGCAGUGGGGAAUAUUGGACAAUGGGCGAAAGCCUGAUCCAGCAAUGCCGCGUGAGUGAUGAAGGCCUUAGGGUUGUAAAGCUCUUUUACCCGGGAAGAUAAUGACGGUAUCGGGAGAAUAAGCCCCGGCUAACUCCGUG